GACGAACGCUGGCGGCGUGCCUAAUACAUUCAAGUAGAACGCUGACUACUUUAGCUUGCUAGAGUAGAAGGAGUUGCGAACGGGUGAGUAAAGCGUAGGUAACCUGCCUACUAGCGGGGGAUAACUAUUGGAAACGAUAGCUAAUAACGCAUAACAGUGUUUAACACAUGUUAGAUGCUCGAAAGAUGCAAUUGCAUCAAUAGUAGAUUGACCUCCGUUAUAUUAGCUAGUUGGUGGGGUAACUGCCCACCAAGGCGACGAUACAUAUCCGACCUGAGAGGGUGAUCGGCCACACUGGGACUGAGACACGGCCCAGUCUCCUACGGGAGGCAGCAGUAGGGAAUCUUCGGCAAUGGGGGCAACCCUGACCGAGCAACGCCGCGUGAGUGAAGUAGGUUUUCGGAUCGUAAAGCUCUGUUGUAAGAGAAGAACGUGUGUGAGAGUGGAAAGUUUACACAGUGACGGUAACUUACCAGAAAGGGACGGCUAACUACGUGCCAGCAGCAGCCGCGG
rnacentral:rRNA from 1 species